UCCCUGGAGGACUAGUGGUUAGGCCACGGUGCUCUCAGAUGAAGUGCUGAGGCCCGGGUUCAGUUCCCGGCCAGAGAG